rnacentral:rRNA from 1 species
GUGGGGAAUAUUGGACAAUGGGCGAAAGCCUGAUCCAGCCAUGCCGCGUGUGUGAAGAAGGUCUUCGGAUUGUAAAGCACUUUAAGUUGGGAGGAAGGGCAGUAAGUUAAUACCUUGCUGUUUUGACGUUACCGACAGAAUAAGCACCGGCUAACUUCGUGCCAGCAGCCGCGGUAAUACGAAGGGUGCAAGCGUUAAUCGGACUUACUGGGCGUAAAGCGCGCGUAGGUGGUUCGUUAAGUUGGAUGUGAAAGCCCCGGGCUCAACCUGGGAACUGCUGCCAAAACUGGCAAGCUAGAGUACGGUAGAGGGUGGUGUAAUUUCCUGUGUCGCGGUGAAAUGCAUAAAUAUAGGAAGGAAUACCAGUGGCGAAGGCGACCACCUGGACUGAUACUGACACUGAGGUGCGAAAGCGUGGGGAGCAAACAGGAUUAGAAACCCGGGUAGUCC